rnacentral:rRNA from 1 species
GUGGCCUCAGAUAGCCAUGGCAUGGUCUAAGUAUAAAUGGGUAUACAAUGAAACAGCGAAUGGGCUCAUUAAAACAGUUAUAGUUUAUUUGGUAAUCAAACUUACAUGGAUAACCGUGGUAAUUCUAGAGCUAAUACAUGCUGUUCUGCCCGACUUACGAAGGGCCGUAUUUAUUAGAUAUCAGCCAAUAAGCAUCCGCUAUUGUGGUGACUCAUAGUAACUUAAUCGGAUCGCAUGGGCUCGUCCCGCGACAAACCAUUCAAGUUUCUGCCCCAUCAUGCUUUCGAUGGUAGUGUAUUGGACUACCAUGGCUUUCACGGGUAACGGAGGAUUAGGGUUCGAUUCCGGAGAGGGAGCCUGAGAAACGGCUACCACUUCCACGGAAGGCAGCAGGCGCGUAAAUUACCCAAUCCUAAUUCAGGGAGGUAGUGACAAGAAAUAAUGGGUCGGAGUUUUGCUCCGGGACUGCAAUGAGACGAAUUUAGACCCCUUAUCGAGGA